rnacentral:tRNA from 1 species
AUUUAAAUAGUUUAUAUAUAAAAUAUUGAUUUGUGAUGUCAAUGAUAAGAAUUAUCUUUUUAAAUU